AUUGAACGCUGGCGGCAGGCCUAACACAUGCAAGUCGAGCGGAUGACGGGAGCUUGCUCCUUGAUUCAGCGGCGGACGGGUGAGUAAUGCCUAGGAAUCUGCCUGGUAGUGGGGGACAACGUUUCGAAAGGAACGCUAAUACCGCAUACGUCCUACGGGAGAAAGCAGGGGACCUUCGGGCCUUGCGCUAUCAGAUGAGCCUAGGUCGGAUUAGCUAGUUGGUGGGGUAAUGGCACACCAAGGCGACGAUCCGUAACUGGUCUGAGAGGAUGAGCAGUCACACUGGAACUGAGACACGGUACAGACUCCUACGGGAGGCAGCAGUGGGGAAUAUUGGACAAUGGGCGAAAGCCUGAUCCAGCCAUGCCGCGUGUGUGAAGAAGGUCUUCGGAUUGUAAAGCACUUUAAGUUGGGAGGAAGGGCAGUAAGUUAAUACCUUGCUGUUUUGACGUUACCGACAGAAUAAGCACCGGCUAACUCUGUGCCAGCCGCCGCCGUAA
rnacentral:rRNA from 1 species